AGUGAACGCUGGCGGUAGGCCUAACACAUGCAAGUCGAACGGCAGCACAGGAGAGCUUGCUCUCUGGGUGGCGAGUGGCGGAUGGGUGAGGAAUACAUCGGAAUCUACCUUGUCGUGGGGGAUAACGUAGGGAAACUUACGCUAAUACCGCAUACGACCUACGGGUGAAAGUGUGGGACCGCAAGGCCUCACGCGAUUAGCUUAGCCUAUGUCCGAUUAGCUAGUUGGCGGGGUAAUGGCUCACCAAGGCUACGAUCAGUAGCUGGUCUGAGAGGAUGAUCAGCCACACUGGAACUGAGACACGGUCCAGACUCCUACGGGAGGAAGCAGUGGGGAAUAUUGGACAAUGGGCGCAAGCCUGAUCCAGCCAUACCGCGUGUGUGAAGAAGGUCUUCGGAUUGAAAAGCACUUUAAGUUGGGAGGAAGGGCUGUAGGCUAAUUUCCUGCAGUUUUGACGUUACCAACAGAAGAAGCACCGGCUAACUUCGUGCCAGCAGCCGCGGUAACAC
rnacentral:rRNA from 1 species